GGUCGAGGCGCGCGGCGUCGCUGUCGUCGUCCUCGGCUGAAGCCCGGGGCGGCUCGGGUUCGGAGCUCGGCUUCGGCUUC
rnacentral:tRNA from 1 species